rnacentral:rRNA from 1 species
UACGUAGGGUGCAAGCGUUGUCCGGAAUUAUUGGGCGUAAAGAGCUCGUAGGCGGUUUGUCGCGUCUGCUGUGAAAAUCCAGGGCUUAACCCUGGACCUGCAGUGGGUACGGGCAGACUAGAGUGCGGUAGGGGAGAUCGGAAUUCCUGGUGUAGCGGUGAAAUGCGCAGAUAUCAGGAGGAACACCGAUGGCGAAGGCAGGUCACUGGGCCGCAACUGACGCUGAGGAGCGAAAGCAUGGGGAGCGAACAGG